rnacentral:tRNA from 1 species
GGGAACAGAUGGCCUGCUGGUGCAGCCCCUGGACUUCAAAUCCAGCCGGCGGGCCUCACGGUCCGCGGUGGGUUCGAUUCCCACCUGCUCCCGCCA